UGGACAGAUUAUUAUAUUCGACUGUAUUCACGGCGAGAAAUAGGGGAUUACACUGUUUUUAAAACGGAAAGUGAAUCAAUUAACAUAAUAGACUCCU
rnacentral:pre_miRNA from 1 species